GGUUCCAUAGGGUAGCUGUUAACAUGUCUGCUUUACACGCAGAAGGUUCUGGGUUUACGCCUCAGUGGAACCA
rnacentral:tRNA from 1 species